rnacentral:lncRNA from 1 species
ACUGUUCUCUCUGUAACCUCAUUUCUUCAUUGAACUUCGUUAUAAACGCUUCCACUCGCCGGUUCAACUCGUCCUGACUCGGCGACGGUUCAAGUAUGGUUUUCCUCUUGUUUUCAGUUUGAUGAACCGGGGAUUGACUUCCGUGAUUCUGCUGCCAUGUGUUCAGGUGCCUCGUGAGCGGCACGUGACGACCUUCUGUUAUCUUCUUCCAUGUACUCUCUAAUGUCUCAUGUCUCUUCACCCUCGCUACCCUCAGUGAUUUAACCCCUGUAAUUCCAAUUAUUUACAGAAUUAACCUUAAAAGUGUUUAAACUAACAAAAGAAAAAUGAUAUUUUAAAAAUAUAUGAGUUAAACAUACUACUAUAAUAAUUAUAUAACAAAAAAUAAAAAGAAUUAAACAAAUAUAAAAAGAUAUAUGAUUCAUAGUACAUAUUAAUAAGAAAAUAAUAUUCUUCUCUUUCAAUUUAAAUGACACUCUCAUUAUUAGUUCGUUUAAAAAAAAUAUACUUUUAUAAUUAAAAAUAAUUUAAUUUUAAAUUUUUUAUUUUACCUAUUUUAUUUAUAAUGAGAAAUUUUUAUAAUCAUAUAAUAUUACGGCACAAAAAAAUUUUUACCCCUUAAAUUUUUAGAAACAUAAGUUUCAUUUUUUUUUUUUUCUUAAAUUCCGUAUCGCACUUCAUCUAAAUUGAAAUCUUUUAAGGAGUAUUACACAAAAUGGAAAGAUAUGAAAGAGUAGUAAAUACGAGUAUAAAUUUUUGAAUCGUUUCUAAAAAUAUAUUACGCUCUCUCUCAAAUUAGAUGAUAUAUUUUUCUUUUUAGUCUGUUUAAAAUAAAUAAUAUAUUUUUAAAUUUAAAAAUAAAUUAACUUUAAACUUUUUAUUUUAUCUUUUUUAUAGUAAUACUAAGAAACUUUUAUAACUACAUAAAUAUUAUUUUCCCAUAAAGUUUUUAUCCUUAACUUUUAAGACAAUAAGUUAUAAAAGCGCUUUUUUUUUUUUUCCUUAAACCCGUCAAAAGUAUGGUUUAUGAGAAAUGUAUAUUUGUUACCUUCAGGAUUCAUUCUCGUAAGCGGUUUCCGGUGACCGAACCGGGAAGAAACCAGCGGUUUCUCCGUCGCUAGCUGUUGAAGCAGCUCCGUUUCCACUUCAGGCAACGGCGUAACAACGGAAUUCGAAAUCACAACCUCAUCACCAUUUUCAGCUUCAACCACCUGCUCCGGUUCAAUAUUUACCGGCUCAGGUUUCACCUCUAACACCUCCGAUUCAUGUACCGGUUCAGGCGAUAACUCAGACAUCUCCGGUUCACUCAUGUUAACGUUUGACUGGGAAAUUGCUAUCAAAUCUGAAAGCGGAGUUGAUGUGGCAGACAUCAACGGCUGUGAUUGAUCGCUAGAAUGUUCCUUACGGUGUGACCGAGAAGUAGCGG